CGCGAGCCGUCCCGCCGGUCACGUGGUGCGCGCGCCCCGCUGGCAGCGGCCCGGGAGCGGGAGCGGGAGAGAGGAGCAAGGGAGGGAGCGGGACACAGCGGGACACAGCGCUGCUCGUCCGGCCGCCGCCCCACCAUGAUCAAAGCCAUCCUCAUCUUCAACAACCACGGCAAGCCGCGGCUGUCCAAGUUCUACCAGCGCUACAGUGAAGAUACGCAGCAACAAAUUAUCAGAGAAACUUUCCAUUUAGUAUCAAAACGUGAUGAAAAUGUCUGUAAUUUUCUAGAAGGUGGACUAUUAAUAGGUGGAUCUGAUAACAAACUAAUUUACCGACACUAUGCCACCUUGUAUUUUGUCUUCUGUGUGGAUUCCUCAGAAAGUGAGCUUGGUAUUUUAGACCUCAUACAAAAAUUUGUUUUAACUUUGAAGACCCUAAGCUCAAUCUUACAUUUAACUUCGAGAGAUCUUGACAUAACCUAUGUCUGUAGGAGGUAUCCCUUGGCCAAAGAGAGCUGUGUGUACAGCUCUAAGACUGGAGUCUCUGACAGCACUCACCACAAGCACAUGGUGAUUGGCAUUCAGGAACUUCAGGACUGCAAGUACAAUCAUCAUUUCAUUAUCUGGACUAGCUGGGGACCAGGUAUUUGUGGAAACACUGGACAAAUGUUUUGAAAAUGUCUGUGAGCUGGAUUUAAUCUUUCAUGUAGACAAGGUCCAUAAUAUAUUGGCUGAAAUGGUCAUGGGUGGAAUGGUUUUGGAGACCAAUAUGAAUGAAAUUGUUACUCAGAUUGAUGCUCAAAAUAAACUGGAGAAAUCUGAGGCUGGUUUAGCAGGAGCUCCAGCCCGGGCUGUUUCAGCUGUAAAGAAUAUGAAUCUGCCAGAGAUCCCAAGAAAUAUUAAUAUUGGUGACAUCAGUAUAAAAGUACCAAACCUGCCCACUUUUAAAUAACAUGGCUACUCCAGGUAAUACCAAGGAAGAAAUGUAAUAGAGAUUUACUGCAUAAUUGUUUACUAAAUAAACAUGUCUAACUUUUAUUGUUUGGAUAAAACUCAAGGUCCUGCAUAGACAUAACCUGAAAAAUCAGUGUGUGGAGUUGAAUGUUGCUUUUGUCUUGUUUGUGAAAUUUAAGGAAAGGGGUAGUUCCCAUGUGAUUUCUAAAUUACAUUCCUAUGCCCUUGCAAGGCAUAUCACUGUGUCUCAGCUGCUGCAGUAUUUUGGGGAAAUAUUUAAGAUGUUCUUUACUUUGUAUAACCUAUAAUGCUGAGGUUUUUUGUAUAUUCACCAAAAUCUAUAAUUAGUGCGUUCUUUAACUACUUCUGUUUGUCAUGAUUAUUUAAGACUUAAGUACAAAUGUUGCAUGAAAACAUUUAACUCAUGUUUUGUUAAAUAAAAUCAUAACAAGCUGGACUUCGAAAUACCUGUUUUUUGAAGUCUGCUGUUUGCAAUAAACCACGUUAUUUCCUAUUCAUGGAGCCAAUUGAUUAUGUAUUGACAAAUACUGUUGUAGCAGACAUUGAUGUUGUAGUUUAAUCUCUGAAGGGCUUACACAGGGGUAUUAUGCUGAACAUAUUGGCUCGUUACAUUUCUCACAAAAGCUGUUCAUUAUGCUGAAAGAAAAACUGCCUUUACCGAAGAUCUGAUGAUUUUUGUUUACAUACACAUGUUGAUAUGUACACAAUCUGGUAGACUUUCACUGAUGGUCUGACUUUGUUUUGGGGAAAAAUAGGCAGCCCUGUGAAUGCUCUGUGUUGUGAGAAGCACAGAAUGGGCUGAAGACCUUAUAUUUGGGCAGCUCAAACCUGUACAUGAGAGUCUAUCAAAUAAUGUGGUAAAGAAAGGCACUCUGGAAAGACAAUUGGGGAUACUUUAAUAGGGCCUCUGUGCCUGGUGACAUUUGUGAUUCUCUGCUUUGAGAGAGACACAUAGUAUUGUGAAGAUCUCAGAGAUCUAUCACCUCUGCGUAAGUUGCUCAGCUCUUAAACUCUUCUGUGAUUUAAAAAACAUAAAAGGGGGAUAGUGAUUGUUUUUUAUAAUCAUGCUCUUAAGCUCUGUGUGUUGUACAAGUCUGUUUUAAUGAAUAAUAAAAAUAUCAUUGGGAUAUUUAA